ensembl:snRNA U2 U2 spliceosomal RNA
AUUGCUUCUUGGCCUUUUGGCUAAGAUCAAGUGUAGUACCGUUCUUAUCAGUUUAAUAUCUGAUACAUCUUCUAUCUGAGGACAAUCUAUUAAAUGAAUUUUUGGAGCAGGGUGUUGGAAUAGGAGCUUGUUCCAUCCACUCCACACAUCGACCUGGUAUUACAGCACUUCCAGGAACGGUGCACCCCUU